rnacentral:lncRNA from 1 species
GUCUUUUGCAUAUACUUUUUCCAGUCAGUGGCUUUUCUUUUCUCUCUCUUGAUCCACACAAUUUUUUUAAAGGAUUGUAUCGUUUUAUACUGAAAGGCAUAGAGACAGUACAAAAUGAAAAGAUGCCUUUGACCCCAAACUUCUGCAUAUGGGAAGCAUGCUAAGAACAUGGCUAUUUUUUAUGAAAAAAAAAUAAUUUAGAGGGUAGAACCAAUAGCCCAGAGUGGAGAGCCAAGAGUCACAGUGAAUCAUUCUUAAACAGUACAACUGAGCCCUAAUCAAGUACCAGUACCUUUUGCCCAGCUUGAUUUCAAGCUUUUAAUGGACCAAUGACUUCUGUGUCUCUCCUUUCCUCCUUUUUUUUGGGAGUGUCUAUAGCAGUUAUCCUGUACUUGCUCCACCAUUGUGCAUUUGGUGUUUGUUAAGGCAGAUAAUUUUUCUUUUUUAGUUUAUAGCUCUUGAGAUUACAAGGAACUGUACGUAAGGGGCUGUAUUUGAGGAACUGUACCCAAGAAGUUCAUCCAUACCUGGACCUCAAGCCUCAGCCUGAUGUUGUAGGUCUUGAGGGAGUGCAUGAGUGUAUUUUGCUGCUGUGGCUAGAGGGUGGACUGUGGUAUUUUGCAUUUUCCAAAACUGACCUCAGCAAUAUUUGUGGUCCCACAUGCUCUUCUAAACUUUGUCACUUCCCAACAAGAGUUAGAGUUUAUUUCCCCUCCCCCUGAACCUGGGCUGUACUUUGCACUGUUGAAUAGAAUGUGGUGGGAGUGAAACUAUGGGACUUCCAAGGUGAGGUCAUAAAAGAUAGUACUGCUUCUGCCUAGCUCACUCAAGAACCCAGCCCCCAUAGUGUGAGGAGGCCUAGGACAGUUACAGAAGCCAUGUGUAGGUGUUCUGGCUCCAGCAAAAGUCUUAUCUGACAACAUCAACUACAUGUUAGUGGCCUUUCCUUGAAAUUGCUGGAGCUUGUGCAUCAUCAAAAUAAUGGCAUAAACCAAGGAAGAAGAAAACAAAAUUGAGGAAAUGGGAUCCAACACAAAAGAGAGACAACAGGAUUAAUUGAGUGUUGGUGAAAAGCCACAGCCUGUAAAUAAUGCAGUUCGAACUGAAAUAGACCAGGAGGCUCAAGGAGAGACUUCUUCAAGAAGAUAAAAUUGAUAGAAUGCCUAAGGAGUUUGAGUGCAUUGAGAAUAGAUUCAUAUCAGUUCUGGAGAACUGGGUGGAUACAUUAAUGUUAAGUACAUAGAAAAGUUAAAAAUGAAAAAAAUUCUCAAUUCUAGGGAAAAUAAUCAUAGUAAACUACAUGUUUUAGUUACCAAUAGUGUUUACGUAGUCAAUAUAAACAAUGGGCAUUGAUAUAAAUAAUGUAUGUUGAUCUGCUAUAACAAGGUAAAAUGCUAUUGGGGAAACAAGAUAA